AGGGGGUAGGACCUGAACAAAUCGGGUUACCCUACCUUGGGUAAGCAUGGGCGCCUGGCCAAUAGUAGUGUGUGUGAAUGCUGUUGAAGGGCGGGUCUUGCCUAGAAGUUGCGUGGGUUCCAUAAUAACGCCUUUUUCAGAGAACAC